rnacentral:rRNA from 1 species
AGAGUUUGAUCCUGGCUCAGGAUGAACGCUAGCGGCAGGCUUAACACAUGCAAGUCGAGGGGUAGCAGGAUUUAGUUUACUAGAUUGCUGACGACCGGCGCACGGGUGAGUAACGCGUAUACAAUUUGUCUUUUACUGGAGGAUAGCCAAGAGAAAUUUUGAUUAAUACUCCAUAGUAUUAUUUGAUCACCUGGUCGAGUAAUUAAAGCUCCGGCGGUAAAAGAUGAGUAUGCGUUCUAUUAGCUAGAUGGUAAGGUAACGGCUUACCAUGGCGACGAUAGAUAGGGGUCCUGAGAGGGAGAUCCCCCACACUGGUACUGAGACACGGACCAGACUCCUACGGGAGGCAGCAGUGAGGAAUAUUGGGCAAUGGAGGCAACUCUGACCCAGCCAUGCCGCGUGCAGGAAGACGGCCCUAUGGGUUGUAAACUGCUUUUAUACAGGAAGAAACUUAUCCACGUGUGGAUAACUGACGGUACUGUAAGAAUAAGGACCGGCUAACUCCGUGCCAGCAGCCGCGGUAAUAAGGGCGAAUUC